UGCUGCCCGUCCUCGCCUAGGUGUGGAGCU
rnacentral:piRNA from 2 species